GGCAGCUUAUACGCCAUGUGAUUCACAGAACAGAGACGCUGUUCAACUUACAUUAGAACAAAUCGACGUUAUUCGACGACUUACCGACUGGUACCAACCUCGAUUGGUGCUCUGCACCUCUUCAGAAGAUAUAAAAGCUGCACAUAAAGCGCAACAUAUAUGUUCACUCAUAGGGGUAGAAGGUGGACAUUCACUAGCUGGAAGUUUGGCCGUUUUGAGGAUGCUGUAUCAUGUGGGAGUUCGAUAUCUUACCUUGACUUCCACAUGCAACACUCCUUGGGCUGAUUGUUCACAUGUGGAUAAUCCAGGCAAUGCGCCCGAACAUGGAGGCUUGACGAGUUUUGGAAAAGUA
rnacentral:lncRNA from 1 species